CCAGGCCCGGGCGACUGUUUACCAAAAACACAGGUCUUCGCAAAGUCGUAAGACCAUGUAUGGGGGCUGACGCCUGCCCAGUGCCGGAAGGUUAAGGAAGUUGGUGACAUGAUGAUGGGGAAGCCAGCGAUCGAAGCCUCGGUGAACGACGACCAUAACUAUAAUGGUCCUAAGGUAGUGAAAUUCCUUGUUGGGUAAGUUCCAACCCGAACGAAAGGCGUAACGAUCUGGGCACUGUCUCGGAGAGAGACUCGGUGAAAUAGACAUGUUUGUGAAGAUGCAGACUACCUGCACCUGGAAAGAAAGACCCUAUGAAGCUUUACUAUUCCCUGGGAUUGUCUUUGGGUUCUUCUUGCGCAGCUUAGGUGGAAGGCGAAGAAGGCUCCCUCUCGGGGGGGCCUGAGCCACCAGUGAGAUACCACUYUGGAAGAGCUAGAAUUCUAACCUUGUGUCAGGACCUACGGGCCAAGGGACAGUCUCAGGUAGACAAUUUCUAUGGGGCGUAGGCCUCCCAAAAGGUAACGGAGGCAUGCAAAGGUUUCCUCGGGCCAAAUGGAAAUCAGCCCUCGAGUGUAAAGGCAGAAGGGAGCUUGACUGCAAAACCCACCCAUCGAGCAGGGACGAAAGUCGGCCUUAGUGAUCCGACGGUGCCAAGUGGAAGGGUCGUUGCUCAAUGUUUAAAAGUUACUCUAGGGAUAAUAGGCUGAUCUUCCCCAAGAGUUCACAUCGAUGGGAAGGUUUGGCACCUUGAUGUUGGCUCUUUGCCACCUGGGGCGGUAGUACGUUCCAAGGGUUGGGUUGUUCGCCCAUUAAAGUGAUACGUGAGCUGGGUUCAGAACGUCGUGAGACAGUUCGAUCCAUAUCUGGUGUGGGCGUUAGAGAAUUGAGAGGACCUUUCCCUAGUACGAGAGGACCAGGAAGGACGCAGCUUUGGUGUACCAGUUAUCGUGCCCACGGUAGACGCUGGGUAGCCAAGUGCAUAGCGGAUAACUACUGAAAGCAUUUAAGUACGAAUCCCACCCCAAGAUGAGUGCUCUUCUAUUCUUACUUCUCUGAGAGCCCUAGUCGCGAACACGGCUGGGACAACGACGGGUUCUCUGUCCUUGCAGGGGAUGGAGCGAAAAAAGUAUUGAGAAUCCAAGAUAAGGUCACGGUGAGACGAUUCGUUUAUCAUUACGAUAGGUGUCAAGUGGAAGUGUAGUGAUGUAUGCAACUGAGGCAUCCUAACAGAUCGAGAGAUUUGAACCU
rnacentral:ncRNA from 1 species